rnacentral:rRNA from 1 species
GGGGGUAGCAAUAUUCUCUAGUCGGAGCGGCGCAAGGGUGCGUAACACGUGGGUAAUCUGCCAUGAAGCCCGGGAUAACUCGCUGAAAGGCGAGCUAAUACCGGAUGUGACAACCGGGAGGCAUCUCCUGGUUGUUGAAGUUGGGGACCGUAAGGCCUGACACUUCAUGAUGAGCCCGCGGCCUAUCAGCUAGUUGGUGAGGUAACGGCUCACCAAGGCUAAGACGGGUAGCUGGUCUGAGAGGACGACCAGCCACACUGGAACUGAGACACGGUCCAGACACCUACGGGUGGCAGCAGUCGAGAAUUCUUCACAAUGGGGGAAACCCUGAUGGAGCGACGCCGCGUGGGGGAUGAAUGGCUUCGGCCCGUAAACCCCUGUCAUUUGCGAUCAAACCUUAUUAUUUAAAAGAUGAUAAGCUGAUAGUAGCGAAAGAGGAAGGGACGGCUAACUCUGUGCCAGCAGCCGCGGUAAUACAGAGGUCCCAAGCGUUGUUCGGAUUCACUGGGCGUAAAGGGUGCGUAGGUGGUGAGGUAAGUCGGAUGUGAAAUCUCUGAGCUCAACUCGGAAAUGGCAUUGGAAACUACCUUGCUCGAGGGUUGGAGGGGGGACUGGAAUUCUCGGUGUAGCAGUGAAAUGCGUAGAUAUCGAGAGGAACACCAGUGGCGAAGGCGAGUCCCUGGACAACUCCUGACACUGAGGCACGAAAGCUAGGGGAGCAAACAGGAUUAGAUACCCUGGUAGUCCUAGCCGUAAACGG